rnacentral:tRNA from 1 species
GACUUCGUAGCUCAGCUGGUAGACCGCGAGCGUACAAAGCGUAGGCGGGGUCUAUGCGUGGGUUCGAAUCCCACCGAGGCUA